rnacentral:lncRNA from 1 species
AAAAGUGGCAUUAUGAUUUGAAGGUGUUACAUGAUGGGGUAAGAAGGGAAAAACAUUGAAGACUUGCAAUGGCCACUGAAGACACAGGGUGGCGACCAUUAGGGAGAUAUGAACCUGUUGUGUUAUUCUUUGGAAGACCUUUUAGACAUUUUUCAACACUAUCUGCCCUUUCAGGACAUCCUUCAGUUGCCUGGGCCAUUUACUGAUAUCUUAAUGGAGUUGCUGCUAAGCAUCAUAAUAGCUUAUAUAGGAGGCACCACCAACUGAGAAACCACCACAACAAAAUUGAUCCUGUUUUCUCUCUCGCAGUUCCCAUUAUGAUCUUAUUUCCUUGGACUUCUAGAAUUUGCAUAUCUCUGCUUCAUGCAUAACUAUGGCAAAUUAUUAUUGUAAAUUAAUCAGUUAAUAUGAGUAAAG